GACACGAACUGCUCUGCUCUCUUUGGUUUGUCCACUGGAUCAACAAACACUUUCUGUCUUUCUGGAUCCUCAGUGAUCCUGCCAGCUAUUGACAGUAACAGCUAGAGUGGUAAAAAACUGGUAGCAUGUCACCAAGGAUGGUGGGCUCGCAGCUGGGGAUAGGAAAUUGCACCUGCCCUGAAGGUGUAAUGUUUUCAUCUCUGUUCCAUGCUGCUUAGGCUGUUUUUAUUAUUGCACAUUGUACAAAACUUCUAAAAAGUAAAAUCUAUCUGAAGCGUACAAGUGAAAUCUGAUUAAUAUAAAACCCAGUAAUGUUUUCACAAAUCAGCAUGAUAAUUCUGAUCAGAUUACAGAGAGGAGGAAAAAAAAAGGGAUAAUCAUAAACCAUGGAACAAAACUACUGUCAGAGAUUUGUAGAAUAAUCAAAGCUGCUUCAACAUUCAAUGGAGUUUAAAAGCAUGAAAAGUCAGAUUUUCUUGUGCAUACAGAAAACCCUGUAAUCCAAUAUUUCCUUUAAGUAUGACACAGUCUGUGCAGCAGAGCUGUGGAUCCUAGUUGUAUGUUCCAACCAAAGCAUGGAAGUAAAAGGAGAGCCUGUGAUAAAUGGGUUGAAGAACAAGAAGGGAAAAUCAUUUCAACAAGGAAACAAUGAGUGAACAAGACUGGCAGCCCUAUGGAUUCAUACACUCAUGGGCUACACAGCCAGAGAGAAUGCCAGAAGAAAUCACAAUUGACAUCAUGGGAAUCAAUAUUAAGGAGCACAUGAAAUUCACCCAGUUCUUAGAAGGGCAGCAUGUUCUGGCCAUGGCAGCCAAGGGAGUUUAUUCCUUUUCACCAGGUGUCCCAAGUUAACUGUUCACCCAAUGCUUUAGUUUUUAAAGACAGAAGUCAAAGAACUGCAGGCAGAGACCUGCAUAUCUUUUCAGCUGAUUAGAGCUCAGAAGUUAGUCUUGAGGGUUUUUUCCAUUCAAUAUGCAAACUUUAAAACUCAGCCAGUAUAGAUAAUAUGGAAUAAGGAUUGGGUUUGGUUUGCUUUGAGGGUAGAGAAAUAAUAGGAUAUUGGUACCCUGAUCAAUUAAGAUAGGGCAAUACAUAUUUAUUACAUAAAGAUAACUCAAAUUACCUUGAGAAGCACAUAAUAAAAGAGCAUAACCCAUAAGAAGAAAAAAAAAA
rnacentral:lncRNA from 1 species